AUUGAACGCUGGCGGCAUGCCUUACACAUGCAAGUCGAACGGUAACAGGUCUUCGGAUGCUGACGAGUGGCGAACGGGUGAGUAAUACAUCGGAACGUGCCCGAUCGUGGGGGAUAACGAAGCGAAAGCUUUGCUAAUACCGCAUACGAUCUACGGAUGAAAGCAGGGGACCGCAAGGCCUUGCGCGAACGGAGCGGCCGAUGGCAGAUUAGGUAGUUGGUGGGAUAAAAGCUUACCAAGCCGACGAUCUGUAGCUGGUUUGAGAGGACGACCAGCCACACUGGGACUGAGACACGGCCCAGACUCCUACGGGAGGCAGCAGUGGGGAAUUUUGGACAAUGGGCGGAAGCCUGAUCCAGCCAUGCCGCGUGCAGGAUGAAGGCCUUCGGGUUGUAAACUGCUUUUGUACGGAACGAAAAGACUCUGGUUAAUACCUGGGGUCCAUGACGGUACCGUAAGAAUAAGCACCGGCUAACUACGUGCCAGCCGCCGCAGUAAUAC
rnacentral:rRNA from 1 species